UACGGGGGGAGCAAGCGUUGUUCGGAUUUACUGGGCGUAAAGGGCGCGUAGGCGGUCAGCACAAGUCAGUUGUGAAAUCUCCGGGCUUAACUCGGAAAGGUCAACUGAUACUGUGCGACUAGAGUGCGGAAGGGGCAACUGGAAUUCUUGGUGUAGCGGUGAAAUGCGUAGAUAUCGAGAGGAACACCUGCGGCGAAGGCGGGUUGCUGGGCCGACACUGACGCUGAUGCGCGAAAGCCAGGGGAGCGAACGGG
rnacentral:rRNA from 1 species